GCACUAAGUUCAGCAUCAGUAUGGUGACCUUCUGGGAGCUGAGGACCACUAGACUGUCUAAGCGGUGGUGAACUGGCCCAGGUCAGAAAUAGAGCAGGUCGAAACUCCCGUGCUGAUCAGUAGUG
rnacentral:SRP_RNA from 1 species